AUUGAACGCUGGCGGCAGGCCUAACACAUGCAAGUCGAGCGAGCGGCGGACGGGUGAGUACUGUCUGGGAAACUGCCUGUUGGCGGGGGAUAACUACUGGAAACGGUUGCUAAUACCGCAUACCAUCAGAUGUGCCCAGAUGGGAUUAGCUAGUAGGUGGGGUAACGGCUUACCUAGGCGACGAUCCCUAGCUGGACUGAGAGGUUGACCAGCCACACUGGAACUGAGACACGGUCCAGACUCCUACGGGAGGCAGCAGUGGGGAAUAUUGCACAAUGGGCGCAAGCCUGACGCAGCCAUGCCGCGUGUGUGAAGAAGGCCUUCGGGUUGUAAAGCACUGUCAGCGGGGAGGCGUUACCCACAGAAGAAGCACCGGCUAACUCCGUGCCAGCAGCCGCGGUAAUUC
rnacentral:rRNA from 1 species